UGUAACCACACCCCUUCUCCUGUUGAGGUGCUUUCCUGAUUUGCCGGCCCUGUAUUCCUAGCCUUCCCUCUGACGCUCGCCUUCGGUAUGUCCUUGUCCCUGCUUGUUCAGUGAGGAACCGUACUUCGCCGCUGACCUCGUCGUUCCUGUGAUAACUGUCUGAUAACUGUCUGAUAACUGCCUGAUCACAAAGGUGCUGCUGUUUUGUUUAAGCCUGACAAUGCGUGUAUGAUUCAGCAUGCUCGUGACUCUGCCAAACUGUUGUUGUGCAUGUUGGUCUGACAUAUAUCUGAGCUGGGUUUUCGUUUUCUUUGUCAUGUUCUUUUUGUCUGGGCAUUGUACCAUCUUGUCAACUCCAAUGGAGUAAUGCUUCUGUCUAUUGUGUUUUCUGUCUGCAUGUGACUGGGGAUAAGGCUGGUGGCGCUGUAGCUGUCCUGGUGCAUGCUUGUUGUUUGUUCUGGUCUGUAGUUAGCCUUGAUACAUGAUUGCUAUUACUGUCUGAGUGUUUCAUGCUUAGGAUGGACUGUUGAUAUCCCCUGGUGCAAUAAUUGUUUUCAUUUUAUUUGUUAAGCAGUUGCUAGGUGCUUCCAGAGGGAGGCUAGGCACCUGGUGGUGGGCCCCUGUCACUGCAUGCGGGUGUAUCAAGCUGGUUAAUGUGCUGUGGGUGUGCCGUGAUUGUGCUGUGUGUGCAGUGUGCUGUGGGUUGCUUGCCGUGUCAUAGUUCACCUUAUAACCACUUCUUUGAGUGUGUGUGCACGUGUGAGCGGUGUGGAUCCAAGAGCACGCCGUCUGCUAGUCUGCCUCCCUCAGGUAAGUCCUACUUAGCACUGCCUAGACUCUAGUCUACUAGUUUCCCUGUUUUAGCCUUACUGACA
ensembl:lncRNA